ACCCCUGUAGUUAAUCGGUAUAACGCAGGACUCCAAAUCCUGUAUGCUAAGUUCGACUCUUAGCAGGGGUGCCA
rnacentral:tRNA from 1 species